AUACUUCGAAUAAAAUAUUUUUAAUUAUUUUCAUACAAUAAACGUGUAUUUUCUAUACAAAAAUUCCGGUUUUAUAUUUACAUUCCUGGUAGAAGCAAACACGUGGUCUAAAUAAACACAGUUCCUAAUGUGCUGAAGUGAUUUGUCCAAAGUGUUAAGUUAAAUAACUUAAUAACAUUUAAAUAAUCUUAACAGAUAAAUAUUGCCUAUCAUUACACGAAACAAAUUAAGUCUUAAAACGUUUAAUAAGUAAUUUAAUAAAAAAAAUCAUCAAGCAAUUUGUGAAAUUACAUAAGUUUGUGCUAAUGCCAAAAUACAUUGUAAUUUAAAUACUCUAUAACUUUUUGUUGGAAAAAUAUUUCUUCGAUCUAUCAAUGCACAUAGUUAUCAAGCUUUAUGGUUUUUAAUGGCUGUAAAUCGUCAUCAAGGUUUCGAGAAAUAAAUUAAAGCCGAAUCAAAACGUGCAUCGCAGUUUGUUCGUCGGUGAGAGAGACUGAUUAAAGAUUAACAAGAACUAGAGAGUUUGGUGUCGUCGUAAACGUCGAACAGCGCCGGUCGUGCAAAAAUUAUUAGCAAUCUCUGGUCCAAUUUUCAACACUGUGCUCGUUGUUCUAGGGAAGUUUUGGCGGACAAAAUAAACGCUUCGCGAAAUGUUGCUGCUCGGCAUGGAGGGGAGAAAGGCAACAGGAGAAGAGGACGAUGCAACUUUUACAAUUGUCCGGUCAUUUAAAAUAGAGCAAAGUUUUUACGAGGACAGUUGCGCUUGAGGAAAGCUCCGUAAUAGUGGCAUGUUUCCUACUACAAUGGUUACAGUCGCUGGAUGUUUUUUCGAACAGUUUCGGUUUCCUGUGCAUCAAAAUUGGUCAAAUUUUUGUCGAAUGUUACUAACGAACUAUGGAUAUGCAAAUUUGUAUCUCCGCACAAUUGGUGAAAAAGAAUCGGAAUAGAAUUAUUCUUCACAUUUUUGCGCACCUAAAGUUCCCGUAAAUGAAAUAAAAUGAAAAAGUGAAACAAUAAUUUUUAAAUUAUCAUAGAAUGGAAAAUUAACUAUUUCAGAGCAAAAUUUCAUUUUGUAUGAUAAAUCUGUAGCCGAUAUAUCAAAAUAUAAAUGUAGGAAAUAAUGUAGAAAACGAGAGAAAAUAUUGCACCGCGACCAAUGAUUGUCGGUAAUAUCAAAAAAUUGUUGAAAAACAGAAAACGCUAUUUCCCCUCUCAUAAAAUGAUUCAUUUUUAGGUAUGGACUUAUUUGAUGUAUGUAUACUUGGAAAUGCCACAGUCAUUUCCCAUUCAUUGUUAUAA